rnacentral:lncRNA from 1 species
GGAACAAGCUUCAACCUGUUCAGGUACCUGUAAGCUGUGUUCCAGGUCCCCAACUUUUGUGAGCUGUCACCCAUGCUGGGGUGGCCUUUGGUGGUGCAGGUGUCUUUGAGUCAUUUCUUCUCCCAUAUGCUUCACUGGACAGUCCACUGGAUGAGCGCUCACACAUCAGAGUCUCAGAUGGAAGCCAGAUGUGAGGCAAGAGUCCUUAAGAAUCAUGGGAGCUUUUAAGGCAUCUUCAGAAAUAGCAGGGGUGUAACUUACUGCCAUAAUAAUACAAUAUGUAAUUAUA